rnacentral:piRNA from 1 species
UACCAGAGGUAACGAAAUCAGUAAACAGU